rnacentral:lncRNA from 1 species
CCCAAGGCAGUGUGGAAACACAAAAGGACGUGGCGCAGCAGCAAUAAAUCAGAUGCAGGAGAAUGGCCAUGUCAAAAAUCUCCUGCCUACGACGGUCUGAGUGCCAGAGCCCAGCGUGGUCCGACGGUGCCCUCUGUGGAGGGGCACACGGUUGUCAUUGGAGAGUGCAGCUUAUCCAUUGGUUUCAAAGGAGACUCCUUCUCCCGCCCCCAGUCACCCUCACACGAGAGGGAAGGAGAGGGAGGAAGAGGGAGGGAGAGGGAAGGGGAGGGAGAGGGAAGGAGAAUAAAAGAGUGUGGGGGGAGAUGGGGGGAGGGAAGAAGAGGAAGCCUGAGCAGGGAGGGUAGAGGGUGGGGAGGGGAAGAGAUGGGGUGGGGAGAGCCAGAGAGGCUGGGCUUUUGGAGCUGUAGCAGCCGCAGGGAGUUGUGGGAGCUGAUUCCCAGCCGCUUGGAAUUGCUCUGCCCAGAAGGGCUCACUUUUUUUUUCCUCUUUGAAAUUCUGAAAUUGAUGGGAGAUUCAAAAAAAAAAAAAAAAAAAAAAAAUCC